ACACUACCUGGCAGGUGAGAUACCAUGAUCAUGAAGGUGGUUUACCCGGCUGGGCGAGGCCUAGCCAUUGCACUGCUGUGCUGACUCAUGCAAGACUCCCCAAAUGUGGGGAAUCUCACUGCAUAAUUUGUGGUAGUGGGGAUCAUGCCCGCGCCUCCUGG